rnacentral:rRNA from 1 species
GACGAACGCUGGCGGCAUGCCUAAUACAUGCAAGUCGAACGCGGCCAUCCGGUGCUUGCACUGGUGAAGCCGAGUGGCGAACGGGUGAGUAACACGUGAGAAACCUGCCCUGGAGUGGGGAAUAACUCGAAGAAAUUCGAGCUAAUACCGCAUACCUUCUCUUCACCGCAUGGUGAGUUGAAGAAAGAUUUAUCGCUCUAGGAGGGUCUCGCGGCCUAUCAGCUAGUUGGUGAGGUAAUGGCUCACCAAGGCAUCGACGGGUAGCUGGUCUGAGAGGACGAUCAGCCACACUGGGACUGAGACACGGCCCAGACUCCUACGGGGGGCAGCAGUAGGGAAUUUUCGGCAAUGGGCGAAAGCCUGACCGAGCGACGCCGCGUGAGCGAAGAAGGCCUCGGUGUAAGCUCUGUCUGGAGGGACGAAGGAAGUGACGGUACGUCCGGAGGAAGCCACGGCUAACCUACGUAGCCAGCAGCCGCGGUAACUGCUACU